ACAACUAUAACAUUAUAUUAAAUCCACACCAUAAUAUUUAAAAUUAAAAAAAAUCGAAAAAUUUAAAUAUUUAUUCAUAAAAUCUGGGUCUCACACCCUCGGCCGCUGCUCCUUAGUCUCCAAACGCUUCUACUCCCUCGUUCCUCAGGUUGAAGAUGAUUCUCCUCUUCCUCUUCCUCCUCCUCCUCCUCCUCCUCCUCCUCCUCCACUUCUUCCUCCAAAUCCCAUACCCCCUUUUCCUCCCUCUUCUGAUUAGUCUUCGGCGACACCGUUAAACCCCUCCAAUCUCUCACUCUAGAUCUUUUCAUUUACUCCGCGCCUUUACCAUAGCAAGAAGGAAAUGAUUGAGGACGACCGCCCAGAGAUCUGGGCCAGCCGCUGAGUGAAGGCUCACCCUCAUCGCAUAAUCAUCUUCAUGACUAAACUUUUUUUCUCCCUAUAGAUUGUGUAUGUGUACAUAUACAAACCCAAAUUUUUGGGUUUGAUUAUCAAUUAUGAUUCCAUGAGAAUAAUUGAUUGUAUUUUUAAUUGGGGGUUAUGAGCGGAGGUUGUCGGCGUAUUGAUGGUGAUAGUUAUUUGCUGACGAGUUGAAGUGAUUCACGAUGAUGGUGAAAAAAAGUUUCGCUCGGUGAUGGGGUAGUGGUGGUUGAAAAUUGUUUUUUUUAUAUUUUCUUUACUGGUUUUCGUUUGCUUGAGUGGUGGUGUGAUGGGAGUUGUGUGGACUAUGUGGGUGUGGGCUUGGAUCGUGAUUUUGGUUUAGAUGGUGGUGGUGGUUGUGGUGGUAGUAGUGGUGGUUCUUUGUUCCAAUAGUAUCUGAUGACUAUAUUAUUUGUUUUGAUUUUUUCCACUUAAAUUUGUUAUGUGCUUACUUGUUUGUUUGUUCUUUUACUUUUUUGUCCCUUAAUCUAAUACAAUUGAAAGAAACUUUAUCAAAAAUCUAUUUUUUUUAUUACACAAAGAUUGAAUUGCCACAUCAUUACGCCACAUCCUCAAAUUUUGAGGUGUCAUUUUAAUUGAACUAAAGUGGAAAAAAUUAAUAGUAAUUGACAAAAUUAGAAUGAAUCACUAAAAUGGAAUAUGACUUAUGGUUUAGGAUAGUAAUUUAUAUUUAAGCUUAAAAAAUCAACAAUUCUCGGCAAAUUCUAGGCUCAACUGAUAGAAUCAAAAUUCCAACAGAAAUAUACCAGAUUGAUGCAAUAUUUGGCUUUCACUAUACUAGCCAGAACAUGAGAGCAAUAUUUGAUUUGGAAAGAUUUAGGAAUUUAGCCCUCUCGUAAGCAGAUGAGCAAAAUCUUUUACAGUACUCCUUUAGUUCCACAAAAGAAGUUCUAUUUGCCUUGAAAGUAUUAAAAAAUGACACAAUGUCCUUAAACUUGCCACUAUAAUUUCAAUGUCAAGUCACCGCUACUAAACUAACAACUUAUCAUUUUUAAGGCUAAACAUAAGACAAAAAUACUUUCUUACCAAGGUUAGGAGUUUUAUUUACACAUGCUUCAAAAAUUCAAAAUGUACACAAUUAAAUAUGUUGUUUGAUUUGAACCCUCCCUCCCUCCCUCCCUCCCUUUUUAAAAAAUUGUUUAUCAUCAAGGCGGGUGAGAGGACAUAGAAUAACCUUGACCCUAUAAGAACUUGAUCCCUUGUGUGGUUAUGAAAGAAGGCCAUUAGGUUAUCAUUAGGUCCCUAACGGGAUCUGACCUCUGAUGUUAUUACUAGAUGAGGUAAUGAAUUUAAGCCUUUAAAGCAAAUAAUGAGAAAGUUGACUUUCAGUAAUCUUGAUUAUUAUUUUUUCUCAAGAGAUAGAAGAAAAGGGUCAUGAUAAUGACGACGACGACUUUUUUGACUUUGUGUAAGCUUAUUUCCUCCUUCUUUAGCAUUAAUAAUUUUUCUAUAUCAGGAAAGAAAAAAUGUUUCGAAGAGAAAAUAGCAAGAUUUCUAGAAGCAUACUCCAGACACCUGGGAAUAAGGAUAAUAAUAAUAUGAUAAUGAACACAUUUCAUUUUCUCACUUCAGCUUAUGAAAUUAUAUCGACAUGAUGGACUCUGUAUAUAUUUAGUGGUGAUCAUAGGAAAAACAGAUAAUUCUUAUUAAAUCAAAUGUCAGUCAUAGACCAAGUGAAAUAAACACCCGAAAAAUGUUUGGUAGUGACUAAAUAGUGUGCAUAUGCCAUGUCUCACUAAAAGUAGCAGAUUCAUUAAUCCUUUGGGCUUGACAAAUCAGUAUUAAGGAAAUAAACGAAGAAAAGAAAGUUGGAGAGGCACAAAAAGAUAAACAAACACAAGGUAUAGAGUAAAAGAAAACAUUUCCAAUGUCAUAUAUAGCCAUGUACCUCUGAACGCAAAUACGGAACAGAUACAGCUGAAAAAACAAAUUCAGCAACAAUGUAAUAAGAAGGAGGUUUUCCAUUGAUGUCAUGUGUGCUAGUAUGAGCCUUGUGUGAGUUGCAAGUUUUGUAUUAAACUCAAACGUCUCUGAAUUACGUACGAAGAACCUUAACUAGAGCAUUAUCUCCAGUAUAUUUUUGAGAAACAAGAUAACUGAAUGUUGACACAAAGUUGUAAACUAAGACUUGAGCACAGACACCAUGACAAUUUUAUAACCCAUUAAACAAAUAUUUGCCAAUUUCAUAGCCUACCAUAUGUGACAUGCAACCUGCAUACAAAUGGCCUUUUUUUUAACACGCCCACAGCCCACUUUGGAGGGAUAGCAGUACAAGUACAAAUAAAUUUCAUAAUCUAACAUAAAAAAUCUCUCAAUAACAAUAUCAUUAACUUCACUAAACAAGCCUCACAACAAGGAGGAAAGAAAAUUUGAGAAUACAAGUCACUAUAUGGUUGGACUAGCCCAAGUGAAGUUUAUUUAAAUGUAAAGGAACCAUGUUUUAGUACUUCUGUUUGUAUUCUUUCCCUUCUCAUUUGCAAAAAGAAAAAAGAAAAAAAGUACCCUUAUUGAUGAAUGAAAAAUACUUUUUAAAAUUUUAUAAAUGAGAUUAUGUGUAAAACAGAUGAAAUAACAAGUUAAAUUACUCUAAUUAAUUCUGCUUUAUUAAUGAAGUAAUUAGUUAUACUACUAAUCUUAUUUACCAAACAAGUGUACAUAUUAUUUUAAGUUUAUUUUCAAAUGUAGGUUUAAUAUAGUUAUACGAUUUUAAAUUAUAAUAUAAUAUCAAACACGACUUGGGUGUAUGAGAUCGUUCUUGUCAAAAAUAAGAGUGUUAAAUUCCGUUUAAAACUAACAAAAGAAAAAAAAAUGUUAUUUUUUUAAUCUUAAAUACGUAUGUAUGUAUGUAUAGAAUGAGGAUCAGAUCGGGAUACAGACCCUAUUUUUUAUUUUUAUUUUGUUUUUAUUUUAAAACAACGAAAAAAAAUUAAUAUUUUAUGAAACUAAAUUUUUUUCAUAAUACAAUGUUUUGGGUGUAAUUUGAAUACAUAUAACAAAAUAUGUAUGUACAAACUUGUUUUGUUAUAUAUAUUCAAAUCACACUCAAAACACGUAAAAAUUUCAGUUCCAUAAAAUAUUAAAUUUUUUUUUAGUUAUUUUUUAAAAAAAGUAUAAACCGGACCCUGUAUGUAUCAGCACGGUUCAAGAGCAGACCACUUAACUGACAUAACUUCUUAAGUAGCAGACCUAUAUAUCAUCAGCCUUCCCAAAAUUUUGCAUCAGGACAUUCUCUCUCUUUUCUCCAAAACAUAACUCGUGCUUUUCUCUCCUUCUCUCCAAAGCAGUUGAAACCCCUUUCUCUUUCUUCACUUCUCUCAUUUCUUCACCUGUUUGAAACCCACGAUGAAACCCCUCAUCAUCACGACCCAUCCUCACUUCUCUCAUUAACUUAAUCGAUCGCAGCACGAGACCAAAUCGAACGCAAAAAUUGCAGCAAUCAGAGACCAAAUCGAAAGGGGCAAACACAACAAACGGGAACCUUCGGUAAAUUUCAGAUUUAUUUUCCGAUUUCGUUAAGAUUUAACUAUGUGAUGAUUUCACUUUUUGAUUCGAUUUGGGAAUUUCUAGCCUUUGGGAAUUAGCCCUAAUUUCUUAUUUUAGGGCUUUUAAUUAAUUUUUAAAUUUUGGGAUGAACAUCUCUUAAGGAUUGUAAAAACUUGAUUUGUCCUUUGUUUUGGUUUUAAAUGAGUGGGUAUGAAAAAGAAAGACUUCGAUUUUGCUCAUCACAGACAUCGAUUCGGUAAGGGUUUUUCCUAUCGGAUGACUUCAAUUCAUUUUUUCGAUUUUUCGAUUUGGGGGUUUUCUUUUAUCUCUGCUGCUAAACUUCUAAAAGGGCUGGUUUCUUAAUUUUUUGUUAUUUUUUGUUGCUGUUUUUCUCUUCUAUCUGUUAAAAUUCAUUUUUCAAUUUUUCAAUUUUUGCUUAGCUGGUAUCUUGAAUUAUUGUACAGAACUAAGUUGUCAGUAAAAUCUGAAUACAUAUAAACCUGUAGAUUUUCAGUGUUGUUUUCAUAUGCAGAUUUCACCCACAGUUUUUUUCAUCUGCAUUUGCUUCCAAUCAUUUGUCACAUUUGUGGUAGGGCUAUGUGAAAAACUAUCCCUUUGUGUUUAAUUGUUUUAUUGGUGAUUUUACAGGUUCAAGUAAAUUUCUGUUUGUCCAGGUGUAAAUAUAAUGGAUGACAUGGACCAUGAAUUAGGGAGUUGCGGGGAUAAUGUAGAAAUGAAUUUGGAAAUAGAAAUGGAUGGGGAUGACUUGAGUGGAGAGGGGUUGAAUGUUCACAGUACUAAUACUGUUGUGUACUAUCCUCAAGUAGGAGAUGAGUUGACGCCUAAGCUUGGUCAAGAAUUUCAAACAUUAGAUGAUAUUCACAACUUUUACAAUACAUAUGCUAUGCAUGCUGGUUUUAGUGUACGAAAGUUUUGGGAGAAAAAAAGGGCGGGUAGCAAUGAGAUUUGUAGGAAGGAGUAUGUGUGUUCUAAGCAAGGAAAGGGCAAAGUAUUAGCCGAUGUGGUUGUAAAAAGAAAACGGGGAUCUACAAAAGAAGGUUGUGGUGCAAGAAUUAUAGUGGUAAAAAGAAAUGACUUGUACGUAAUUACAAAAAUUGAGGAGGGUCAUUCUCACCCAUUGUCAACCCCACAUAAGAGGCAUCUUUUACGAUCACACCGUAAUGUGUCAAUGGCCCAAAAAUCUUUGAGUCAGCAACUUAGCACGGUGAAUAUACCACAAUACCAACAAUACAAUUUUCUUGCAGUGCAGGCGGGUGGCUUUGAAAAUAUUGGUUGCACGCAACGAGAUUUGUAUAACUUUGAAAGAGACAAGCGCAAUGACUUGAAGGGACAUGAUGGGGAUAUGUUGAAUGAGUACUUACAGUUAGAACAACAAAAGAAUCCUUCAUUCACUUUCACAAUUGACACAGACGAUGAAAAUCGGAUCACUCGUUGUUUUUGGGCCGAUGCAACUUCUAGACGGGCUUAUAGAUUUUAUGGUGAUGUUGUCAUUUUUGAUACCACAUACAAUACUAAUCGUUACGGAAUGAUAUUUGCACCACUAAUGGGGGUUAAUAAUCAUGGUCAAACUAUUGUAUUUGGUUGUGCUUUCUUAAGUGAUGAGACCAUAGCUAGUUUUGAAUGGCUUUUCAAGUGUUUUUUAGAAGCAAUGUCAGGCGAUGCACCUGAGAUGAUUAUCACCGAUCAGGAUCCGGCUAUGACAAAUGCCAUUUUACAGAUUCUUCCGAAUACAUUUCAUAGGUAUUGUAGUUGGCACAUAUUGACCAAUUUUUCAGAGAAGAUUGAUUCGGUAAAAUACAGUGCUUACUAUAAGGAGUUUUCAGAUUGCAUUUGGAAUUCGGAGACUGUGGAAUCAUUUGACUCUACUUGGGUAGCUUUGAUGGAGAAAAGUGGGUUGAAUGCUAAUAAAUGGCUACAAUCAAUGUUUGACAUCCGUUGUAGAUCGGUACCCGCGCAUGUGAAUCAUUUUUUCUCAGCCGGCAUGUCAAGUAGCCAACGAGCUGAGAGUUGUCAUGCAUUCUUUAAAAAAUUUGUUUCUAAAAGGAAUUCUUUAGUGGAUUUUAUGAUUCAGUUUGGUCGGGGCCUUCAGCAGCAACGACAUGCAGAGUUGGUUUCGGAUAACAAAGAUUUGGUUGAGAGGCCGAGAAUGAAAUAUCGUCAUGACUUCUUAGUUCAAAUGGUUGACAUUUAUACACACUCUAUGUAUUAUAAAUUUGAAGAAGAGUUGUGCGAGAGUUUGAAUUAUAGGUUUGAACUUAUGAAGGAGGAUGUCAACUACCAUGUAUAUAAGAUUUACCGAAGGAAUGUCAGCAAGUUUAAAGUCAGGGAGAUUCAGUAUGACAAAUCCUUGGAUUAUGCAACAUGCACAUGCAAAAAGUUUGAGAGUUUGGGAAUCUUAUGUCGGCAUGUGAUAGCUUAUUUGCAUAAGUAUCAUGAUCUUAACAAAUUACCUGCAAAAUACAUUUUAAAAAGGUGGACAAAAACAACAAAAUCAAGUUGUGUAAUUGAUGAUAAGGGGGUGGAGAUAAAAGAUGACAAGGGAUACUUACUGUCGCGAAGUCAAUUGAUUCAACAAUCUUUAGAGAUGAUUGAUCGUGCUCUCACAAAUGAAGAAGCCAUAAUUGCAUUAAAAGAAUGUUUCAAUAAUGGAUAUGAAAAGAUUAAGCAAAUAAUUGGGAAUAAUGGUUCCAAACGAAAUAAUGAAAUGGAGUCCGGUGGAAUGAGUGCAUCCAAGUCAGUUAACAUGACUGGGACAAGUGAGCCGACUUACAUUGAGCCGAACCAAGUGCGUGCAAAAGGGUGUGGCAAAAGGCUGAAGGGUGGCAAAGAAAGGGCUUUGGGGAAAACAAAAAACCCCAAGGGGAGGCGUUGUCAUGGAUGUAGCCAAGUUGGUGUCACACACGACAAAAGAAACUGUCCGACUCUUAAUAAUCGGUAAACAAUUUUGUGUCUUUUGACUUUGUUAUUUGAUUCAAUUUAACUUAGCUUUUUGUUGAAAUAUGACUUUGCUAUUUGUUGUGCCUUGUAGGAUUGGAGAAUCAAAUGUUGGCGCUAAUCAGGAUCCAAGUGUAGAUGAGGAAUGUGAUUCACCCACAUGUUGAACUGAGAUUGCUAUAACAACACUUGUAUAUCUAUAUAUCGAGUGUCCUUCAGAAUUGCAGUAAUCAUGGGACUGGCGUUUAAAGUCAGGUAGUUGUACCACUUUUAAAGUCAGGUCUUGAUCUGAUUGUUUGCAAGUUCAUUUUUUCAAGGUCUUGAUUUGAUUGUUUGCAUUGCCAUUAUUUUCUUCAGGUUAAAAAGGGAGAGAUUCUUCAGGUCAAACUCAGGAGAUACAUUUCUGCCUAUGCCUUCCUGUUGUGGUUCUUCUUCUCUGUUUGUACCAACUAAUGUCUGUCAAGGGCUGGAAUUUGUACCAACUAAUGUUUGUCAAGGGCUUGUUGCUUUGCAGCAGUGCUUGGGACAAUUGUAGCUAAUUUUAGAUUUGAUUGCUAAUUGUUGAAGAAAUUUGUAUUCCACAUUUUGGGAUGGAAGGUGUAAAUCCUUGAUAUACUUAAUGCUAAACUAGAUGAAUUUUCAUGCCAAUUAAGGGGCAAAUGUUCUUCAAAUAGAUUGCAUUUUUAUGAUGUAAUAUCUAAAACAUUAGUUUUAGCUAUUAUCAUGCACGUUUGGUAGCAGACUUGGUUGUCAAUUUCCAUGUAACACCACUCACCCUGUUCUAAACUCGUUGUGGGUACUUGAAAAGUACCAGGUAUAUGGUGAUUCAGUCCUUGAAAAACCUUGAUAGAAUUUUAUCAUAAUCCCGAGCACUAUGUAAAUGAACAAAUGAAAUGAAGAAAAAUCCGACUCUUGGCUUGUCAAAAUAUAAAUCUCAUUUGGAACAUGUAAAUGCACAAGUAAGAGGUCUUACACUGGCCGUAAGAGGAACAACCAUGCCUGUUUUCUUACAAAAAUACAUUCUUUAGCUUGAAAUUUCAAUUAUAUGUUUUUUUUCACUUCAUGGUAUAGUUUUAGCUAUUAUCACUAAAUAUGUGUUGCAAAUGGAUUCAAAAUGGAUUCAAAAGGACAUUACUGAAUAUGUGUUGCAUAUAAGUAGCUGUACAUAAGGAGCUACACAUCAAAAUAAGGACAUAAAAUACUGGAUAAAGCAACAUGCAAUAUCUUUGCUUCAUUACAAUCCAUUCAUUACAUUAAAAAUAAAAUUGAAGUUCCUGAACACAAAUCCCACUAAACCAUUACAUUCUUUUGUAAUACUACUAAACUAUUACAUUCUUUUGUACAGGCAAAAGCAGAAUGACUGAAUAUUGAUAAAGAAAUUGGAUUCCCUUCAUUUUUUCCUCAAAGUUUCACAUGGUAACCAUCUGAUCUAGCUUUUCAAAAUAGUCUUGAGUUACAGGAUGGAUAUGCUGCAAGAUUUGAUUGAGAAGCUUCAUCCACACUAACAAAAGCAGUUUGGUAGUACUGUCAUUGUAAAGCAGUGAGAAGCAAGCCUGUUAGUACUGUCAAUGGACCAACAUUGAUGAAAAAAGAAAAAGGAAGGUGACUAGUAAAAUCAAGAAAAUUUUCAAAUUUUCAUACCCACUCAUUUAAAACCAAAACAAAGGACAAAUCAAGUUUUUACAAUCCUUAAGAUAUGUUCAUCCCAAAAUUUAAAAAUUAAUUAAAAGCCCUAAAAUAAGAAAUUAGGGCUAAUUCCCAAAGGCUAGAAAUUCCCAAAUCGAAUCAAAAAGUGAAAUCAUCACAUAGUUAAAUCUUAACGAAAUCGGAAAAUAAAUCUGAAAUUUACUGAAGGUUUCCGUUUGUUGUGUUUGCCACUUUCGAUUUGGUCUCUGUUUGCUGCAAUUUUUGCGUUCGAUUUGGUCUCGUGCUGCGAUCGAUUAAGUUAAUGAGAGAAGUGAGGAUGGGUCGUGAUGAUGACGUGGGUUUUAAACAGGUGAAGAAAUGAGAGAAGUGAGAAAAGAGAAAGGGGUUUCAACUGCUUUGGAGAGAAGGAGAGAAAAGCACGAGUUAUGUUUUGGAGAGAAAAGAGAGAAUGUCCUGAUGCAAAAUUUUGAAAAGGCUGAUGAUAUAUAGAUCUGUUACUUAAAAAGUUAUGUCAGUUAAGUAGGCUGAUGAUAUAUCUAUCUAUCUAUCUAUAUUCUAAAGAGAGUAAAAAGAGUGGUAAAUAUUUGUUGGGGCUGUAUCACAUUAACAAUUUCAUUCUCUCUUUAUUUAAACUUUCAAUUCUCUUAUUUUUUUAUAUUCCAAACCCUAUUGGAAAAUUGAUUUGGCGCUACCGAACCAUGUUUCUCUUUAUAUUCUCGUCCUUCUAGAGAAAUUUCUCGGAAACCUCUGUACCUAUUUAACAGUCUGCUGGAAGCCUUUCUGCUCUCUUUAUCCCCAUAUAUCUGAUACUAAUCUGAUAUCCCCCCCCGCAGAUUUGAAACUAACAAAACCCUUUGCUCCUCCAGCUCUCUAUUUCUCUUUCUUUUAUUGCUUUGCCAAAUUCUUUAUUUCUCUAUAAUCUCCUCUUCUUUUUCUUCUUUGCGCAACCGUUGUUAGCGGAGAAAAGUGGAUUUAACCUAUAAAAAAUCCCACUACUGCAAAUUGCUACACAUCUCGCGUUUAUAUGUACUUUUGUUCAUCGAGUCUCAACAACCCACCCAGUUCCAUGGAAGACAUAUUCGAUUCUUCCCUAAAUCUGGAAGAUACCCACCUUAAUGAAGGGUUCAAAGAAGGUUACAACGAUGGUUUAUUUUCCGGAAAAGACGAAGGUCGCCAAGUGGGUCUCAAAUCGGGCUUUCAAAUUGGUGAGGAGUUAGGGUUUUACAGAGGAUGUAUUGACGUUUGGAACUCUGCAAUUCAACUAGACUCCACGUGUUUUAGUUCCCGGGUUCAAAAAGCCAUCAAACAAAUGGACGAGUUGGUCCAAAAGUAUCCGUUUUCCAACCCGGAGAAGGAGUCUGCUAGUGAUAUUAUGGAUUCGCUGAGGUUGAAGUUUAAAGCUAUUUGUGCUACAUUGAAUCUGAAGUUGGAGUAUAGUGGCUAUCCAAAAGGCUCCGAGAAUGUAGAGUUUUAAUUCGAGUUUCAGUUGUGCCGGCCAUAUGUUUGAUACUUGUUUUGAUUGAUGAGCUAUGAACAUGUCUUUUAUUAGUGCAUUGAAUUUAAUUUUCCUUCUUACAUGUUAUUUGGGUUUGUGAUUGUUCUUUAUAGUAUAAAAGUGCCAAAAUUUAGUCUUUUUAGCACUAAAAAAUAUGCAAGUACAAUUCAAACUAAACUUGUAUCCCAUUUUCUGAUUAUCAAUUUUGUAUGACUAGUGUACAAAAUGGGUAUGGGGUUCAGUGAUGAACAUUUUAAAGUAAAUGCAACCCCGAAGCAAUGUGGAAUAUCCUUUCAAAGGUAAAUAGGUAAGAUAAUUCUCUUUGUAUCUUUGAGAUUCAAUGUAUCUUGUAAGCAUGAAUAGACUGCUCUGGGUUAAUUAUCAAUAUUUAGAGAUAUUUGAUGACUAAUCAUUUGCUUCUUAUGCUUAGCGUGGGAGUAAUUUUCUCUUGUGAUCUUAAUUCAGACUUGUAAAUUGCAAUGUCGCAUUCUCGGCCUGAAUCAUAGCGUGUCGGCCGUUAUGAAAUACAUGCACUAGGUUAAGUUCUACAUCAUAAAUACACAUAUAUGCUAAUGGUCUAAAAGGGGUUGGGCCUUCAUGUGCAUCCUUUGCUAGGGUUCACUAUGAACGCCAAGAGAGACUGGGUUACCGAAUUAAGGAAGUAAGACUUCCAUGCGAAUGAUAACAAUUUUCUGACUAAUAUCUAAACCACUUGAAUUCUACAAACUACAAAGUUGAAAAUUAGAGCACUACAAUGUUUUAGCUCUACUGCAAAGUUUGCAAUUUUGAUUAAUCUUUUGUUGUAUGUGAUUAUUUGAACAUAUAUAUUCUUCGUGUAUGUUUUCAAAAUGUUAUGUUGACAGAAAUACAUGAGACCUAGUACUCACGAAUCUUAUCAACCUAAGGUAACAUGCCUAUCUUCCAUAGUUUCGCUUCUCAAUCUUGUGAAGAUCAUGGGUUGUUAAAUAAUUAGAUGACUACUUGGACAUAAUUUGGCAAGUAGGAGCUCCUUAAUAUUCCUUCCAUUGCAGUUGGGUUUCUUUUCUUGGUCUAAGCUGUAUAGUUUUGACAUAUUAUGUGGAACUCUUGGACUCUGAAGUCUGAAAUUCUUUUCAAUGUUCCUAAAUAAAGGCCAAACAUUUAUAAAGUCGGGUUUUGUGGAAAUCUUAGAAAUGAUUAAUCAUAUUAGUAGGCCUUUUUAGUAGAAUUGUGUUAAGAUUUAUGGUAAGGAGGGAGUGUAGUUGGAAGACAUCCUAGCUGUUGUGGAUUAGUUGUUACAUCGUUACUUGAUUCAGCUUUGUUAGAAGAGGUUCUGCUUAGGUUUGGACCCUGUUUUUGAAGCUGGCUGCAAUAGCACUUGAGUAGAAAAUUUAUGCUAGGGAUUAUCAAUCUAUUUCUAUUGUGUUUAGAUAUGUCAGAAAAUUGAUAGGAAACUAGUGUUCUAGGUAAUUCAGUCCAUUUUUCAUUUUUAGCUCUUAAAUAAUAUGAAUGAGAUUACUAUCCUUAGGCAUGCAAUAAAAUCCUUCUUCAUAGGAAUCUCUUUCAUUGAGGAAUGAGAUUUCCAUCCGCUCUUAUGUCUACCUUUGAUGGACUUUAAUAGAAUAAGAUUGAUAAUGCCAUUCCUACUGUCGAUUCUUGUCAUCCAUGGUGCCUUGAGUUGGUGAAUGGCUCUAGAGAUAAAUGGUGCAGGCAUAAGUUCGAAUAUGCGGUUUUGAGUAUUCGGUACCCUCAUUGUAUGCAGACUUUUAGUAUAUCCAUGCUAGUCCAUGCACCCUGCAAUGGCAGGACUGAAUAACUGUCUUUCUAGUUUUAUUUAGUUUUUGAUCUGACUUCAAAAAAAAUUUCCCCUUUGGUCAAGGCUCCAGUCAAACGUCAUCGUCUCCUGUUUUUUUGUUAGGUUUUAGCUGCUAUAUUAGGAAGUUCAACUGUUUUUUUGGCUUUGAUUAAAAUGUCACAUGAAUAUCGGCUGAUAUAUUUUGAAUUUAUGGCAUGGAAAAAGUUGUUCUCUUUGUACCCUGACUACAUAACACAUUGCUACAGUAAAUAUAUAUUGUUAGUUUUUAAUUUCCUAGCAUUUAAUUUAUGAAUAAAAAUCUAAGAAAAAAAAGUUUUGUGUAGCUUUAAAACAACUAACUGGAUACUGUUAACAGAAGAAAUCUUAAUUUGAGCUGGCAGCCAUGGGUGCAACCAUACCGAACCCAAGUUCCAAGAACUGAUAUGAAUUGUGACAUUUCACCUACUGUACAUGGUUAUAAUAUAAUCACACAGACAUCUUAGACACACUCACAUUCUUGUUGUUUCUUUGGUUUUGUAGAUUAGCACCUAUUCCACUAUUCAUGAAUAUAACAAAGGAGAUAUGGUCAUAUGGAAUUAUUGUCUUGUGGCGUAGGCACCAUCAUUUAACAUCGAUCUUUUUCACAUCUCUGGUAAACUCUGUAUGAUACUUGCAAGCAUAUUGAUUAUAUGUAUGUCGGCAUGAAAUUGUUUUUAAUUUCUGAAUACAAAAUUAAGUAGUAUCAUUUUUGCCUAUAUAACCACUUUUCAUUGUGGAGUCGUCAUCAUAACAUCUAUAGCUUUCCUAUUUACGUGCAUGGGGUCUAUGAUUUGAUAGUUAACCAAAUUAAUUCUCCGGUUGAGAUGAGUCAGCUGCAGGCCUACUAUUUGUAGUUGUUUGGCCUAGGCAGGGCCCAUUGCUAGAACCAAGUUUUUUUGAUCACAUGAUCAGGCUGGGUUUGGUAAAAAAAGCUAGGCAAAUCAUAUGGAUCAGGAUGCCUGAAAAGCAUAGUGUUGGAUAGAUAUUAUAGAAAGUUGUGCAACAUUCAAACUUGAUUUUAGCAUUAAUUUUUCUCCAGGGUGCAUGUUAUUAAAUGUGUAGCUUACUUUUCAUAGUACAUUUUUCCCAGGUAAAAAUUGCUCUUGUCUGUAGCUUCCGUGCUGGCAGAGGGUUGUUAUAAGAAGGUGUGCGCUGCUCUGCCCAAUAUACUAGUAAGUCAGAAAUACUAUAAGUAAGUAUUACCGCAUGUCAUUAAUUACUAUGCACAUCACAUGGACACAGACCACAGUUUAUUUCGGGAUUUGAACUGAAGUAGUAGUUAAUUUUGGGGGUUUGGCGCUUCCGCUUGCACAAUUAAGAACAUGGAUGGGUUAUUAAUGAUCACGUAGUUUUUGCAUUCAAACAAUUGAUGAUCUGAUUUGUGAAAUUUGUAAAACAUAUAUGUUUCCUAUCUUAUGCAGUUUAUGAUGUAUGUUUUAAUCCAUACAUUAAUAUUGCAGACACGAUCACAUUGUUUUGAUCAAAGAAAGAAAGACCAAACUAUUAGUAUAAUAAAAUUUGCAACUAUGGCCAGGGUAGCUGAUCACAUGGGACUUAAUAUUAUGACAGUGAGCUCACAUGUGGCCCUACCCCAACAGCCAAGACAGAGAACGUUGCUGAGAAGCUAUAUAUAUAAUGUGCUUUCUGUGGUGGGGCUUUGCCGGAUAAGGCUAUUGUGCUACAAGUGCUUGGUUGCUAGGGUGCAUGGCCAUCUAGGUCCAUAACACUGCCAGCCCCUUUGUUUUUUAGCUUACAGUUACUGGAAAAUAAUGAUACUAAUUUAGUUGCUUAUGCAUUUCACAGUUUUUUCCCUCUUUCCCCCUUUUUGGCUGUGUAUGUAAUGUCUACUCCUAAUCUAUAGAUUUUCGGGACUGUUUAAUGGCCGGAUGGCUGACCUCACUAUUGAAUACUCUUGUGUUCCAAUUAGCAAAGCAGAUAUUAGGGUUAGGUUUAGUAGCAAGGAAAUCACUCUGCUUAAUUUUGUAGACUUAAGGAAGUAGAUGAUACAAUGCAAGUGCAUCUGUAUAAUCGGUUGUAUUAUGCCAUAAAUGAAGCAUUUUAGAUCAUAGUCUUGUUCUGUUUUUACUUUUUACAGAGGCAGACUACUUCCUCCAGUUAAUUUCUCAAUUGCGUCCAAAAUUUGCAUCCUUGGGAUCAUCGGGUAAAGUAAUGUUAAAUAUGUUUGCAGAUAAAACUGAUCUUUCAUAAGGAGUCUUCUGAUCAACUAAUUAAGAAUUAAUUUCUUUAAUUUUGAUGAAAUGAAACUUGGUUUUGGUAGAUAUACAUCACAGAUCAUGGGUUAUGCAGGCUUCACAUACAGUUCUCCAACGCUUGCUUCAGCCAUCAGCAACCUUGUCCUUGCCUUUACCUUCAUACUUUCCGUCAUUUUCAGGCACUUUUCCUUUAUUCGUCUUGUACUAAUUUCUUUGCUGAACUAUCUUUUUAAGCUUCAGCGUAGACUUAAAUUUUUACUUGAAAAAUGUUUUAUCAUCCUACUUUACUGUCAUAAACUUUAACUGAAUCGACACAAUGACACGUCUUGUAAAUACUGUAACUUAUAGUGUACUGUGUUUUCUGAUAUGUUUUUUAGUUAUUCCUGUAUUUCUUUAAAAAAUUCGGGAGUCUUCCCUUCCUUUUAUGGAUGGAUAGGAUGGAAAAGGUUGCAAUGAGAAGCUCUAGCAGUCGGGCCAAAGUCUUGGGCGCCAUAGUAUCAAUAUCAGGUGCAUCUGUAGUCACACUUUAUAAAGGUCCCAAACUCAUACCCAUUGCAUCCCCAUCUCUCUAUCUUCAUCAGCCUCUAAGCUCAAAUUCAAACUGGAUUCUUGGCGGCCUUUUCCUUACAACAGAGUAUAUUUUGGUUCCAAUGUGGUACAUUGGUCAGGUACAAUAUUUUUCCAACUCCAUUUUCAGGAUAGGAUGUAUUACAAUUUAUAUGCCAAUGUUGCUUUCAAAAGCGGAUGUAAAUUAUAAUUUUCCAUUUUGUUACAUUUGAUAGGCACAAAUUAUGAAGGAAUACCCGGCAGAAUUGACAGUUGUCUUCUUCUACAACUUAAUUGUGAGCAUCCUAGUGGCAAUUGUAGGAUUGAUUACAGAACCAAACUUGAGUGCAUGGAAAAUUAAACCUGAUAUAGCAUUGGCCUCUAUUAUGUGCUCAGUAAGUAGGCUAGUGCUGGUACAAUUUAACUGGGUUUUACACUCUUUUAGUAAUGUGUAGACUAAUACAGAGUUGUUGUCCAUAUAGGGUAUCUUUGGUUCAUUCUUGAGCAAUGCUGUUCACACAUGGGUUUUGCGCAUGAAGGGGCCUGUCUUUGUUGCAAUGUUUAAGCCGCUGUCAAUUGCUAUUGCAGUUGCUAUGGGAGUCAUUUUUCUUGGUGACACUCCCUAUCUCGGAAGGUACCAUUCAUAUCUGUAUUACAGGACCUCGUAGAAAUAUCACUUUUCCUCGUGGAAUCAUCACUUUCCUAGCGAAAAUAUCAAUUCCUUCCCUAUAUACAUACAUAUACACUUUAAACACUCCAGAGGACAGCAACUUACCCAAUAAGUUGUAUCAUGCUUAGCUUUCCAGUAUGCAGGUUGAGAUAUUGAAAAGAAAUGGAAAAAAGUUGAUUUUCUUGAAUCAGAUAAAGAAGCUGGAUAUAAUGCUUCCUUCUCGGUUUCUCAUCAGCAUUGAUUUUUUACUAGCUUUGAUUUUCCCAUUUUGCAGUGCUAUUGGUGCAACAAUAAUAUCUAUUGGGUUUUACACUGUGAUGUGGGGAAAAAGCAAAUGAAGAGAUGAGCCAAGACAAUGAUAUUACAAGUUUGGAAUCCCCACCAACCCAGAAAACUCCUUUGUUGCAAAGCAGGAAGAAUCAAGAUAUGGAAAGCAGAUGAACGAAAAACUUGGCUAAUUGUUCCCUUCCACUUGCAUUGCCAAUACAUUUUACAUCCUGCUUUCAAGGGGCUCUAGAUUGAGACAGACAACUUGUUAAUAGUUUAGGAUCAGAGCCUAACAUUAUGAAGGAACUAAGAUACAAAAGGAACUAUGUGGAUAAGCAAAUGAUCACAAAUGUAAAAGGUAGUACGAGAAAUAGAAGUCUCAUCACUUGUGGAAAGUAAUCUGAAGAAUGACCAUCUUUUUAAGUAUGACUUUAUACCUAGCAAGAGAGAGACUUCCAUUCUGUUAUUUUACAAACUGAAAAGGUAUAUAACGAAAGCUUUCAAAAUUAUUCCAUGGCAGAAUCUUAAUAACCAAGUGAAUUUCAUCCAAGCGGACAAUGAAGAGUUAUGCUAAUGCAAUCCAUUAAAAGAUCAGUUGUAAAAUCCUUUCAGGUUGCAUAUCAAAGUAGGCUGUUACAUAUCAGAAUAGAAUUAAUCGUGAAACUUUCCCAUAUAUGUUGCUAUUACAUGCAUAUAAAGUGAAUAUGUUCCUACUAGCAACAAAUUGAGAUUGAAAAGAACCUCAAUAAGAUUUUUGUUCCUACUAGCAACAAAUGUACUGGAAAAUUGCGGCAAAAUAAAUUUGUUCUUAGGACUUUAAAAUCUAUAAGAACCUCAAUAAGAUUUUUGAAAAGAGAAGAUUUACAAAAAUAGUGAUAUCAUGACACCAAUUGAGAUUGAUUCUGUGCUUCAGUCACCAUUGCCAAAGAUGUAUCCAUACAAGGAUAUGCAAAAAAGGCUGAUAUUAUCAAUCAAAUGCCAGUGCCCACAGCAGAGGCAAAUGGAACUGUAUUUUAUAAGGGAGCUAAAACCCGAAGACAGUCGAGGAAGGAGAAUCCCAUGCACCUUCCUAUACAAUCUCCUUUCAUGUCUUGAGAUCAUCAGACAUGGCUGAAGGUAUGCAAUGUGUGGUGAGAAUAUCCGAAGUUGCAGCCUUUGCAUUUUUGGUCUGUAAGACCACAAUCUACAUAAAAGUAUGAAGAUGCUUGAUGAGAUUUUAACUUACAAACAACAGACACAUAAAUAGAAGUAAAGAGAAUUCAUUUUUUCUGUAAGAUAACAUUCUAAAGCCUAAACACAACUAAAUGAGGAUUGUGCAAGACACACACCAAAGGGAGAGAGAGAGGAGAACCUGUUCAUAUUCAAGAUGAAACUUCAAGAAUUCUUCAUCACAAGACUCCACCAUGUAAGCUAAGCUCUUCAAAUUCUUAACAGGUUUGCCAUUGAAAGCAAGAACCUAUGAAAACAAAAAAAUUGAAAGAAAAAAAAGACUGAGCUGGGCACAAAAAGGUGCUAUGUUACUCCAACCUGGAAAAGAGAGUCCAACUUUUUUUUGUUGAUUUUGUAUUUUUUUUCUCCUGAAUAAUAAAGCUUGUAUAAGAGAUGCUUAGAUUAUUUUCUUUUUGAUUGCUUUUAAUAUGAAACUAUUAAGACUAAAAUUAGGAAGUGAUAUUUCCACAUCGUUCCCCUCAAAUAAAUAGUGAGUGGGACUCAAAGCCAUGUGAAAGAGACCAUGUGAAUUAUGAAAAUAUCAAUUCCCGAAAAUUAUUACUAGGGGAAAAAAAUAUGUCCAAGUAUGCCUUGUGCAAAAAAUACCCUAAGACUCAGAUUUCCAGCCAGAGAAGUAAUAGUAUUUUACCACAACCAAAAAUAAUGUGCCAUAGUUUCUUUACAACCUGAGUGUUGACUAUGUCUUCAUACCCAAUAUUGAUAUCAGCCACAAGUACCUGUAUAUUUUAUGCGAAAGAAUGAGCACCUAAUCAAUGCACUUGACAUUAGCCUGAAUAUAAGUUGCACUUGGGCAUGGUGAUGAGAGAAAGAAAAGGGCGUUGGUGGAGCGAAUUAAUAAAGGAAAUCUACCUGAGAAACAACGACUACUUGUUCAUCAACCGAUUGUGCCAUUGCAUGUAGAUGCUUGUCCAAUAGCUUCACUGGGGCAUCAAAGUCGUAAUCUUUUCCAUACUGAACUCCAGGAAAAACAAGAGUUAGGAGUAGAUGAUUUGAAAACCUUCUAUUAAGUCAACCAUGAAACAUCUAAAAUCUGAGAUUGUUUCAGAGUGAGAGUUUUAUAUAACAAUUACACUCGAGCACCAUUUUACAUACUGUAAAGUGAAUGACUCAAUCAUGUAUCAGCUCUAAUCAUUAAACAUACAUCGGAGCUGACUUUUCUUUAAACCCAAGUAUUGACCCUUUCUAUUAUGUAAAACAAAUCAACAAAAGUCAUAUAGCAAAGAGAUAAAAAAAAUUGCUUAAAUAUAUUUUACUACCUUAAACUAUUACCGUUUUUCCACAUUGAUGAUUCACCUUUUAAUUUUGUCAAUAAGAUGAGUAAACUAUUAAUUUUUUCCACUUCCGUCUAAUUUCUCUUGACACGUUAAAAAUUGUUGACGUGGCCGUCAGAGUGGGCCCAUCUACAACUGAUGUGUCUUAAAAUAAUAAUUUCUUCACCAUUUUGUUAAAUUAAAAUUUGUAAGCGGGGGUAAAGUUGGUAAAACGACUUUUAUUCUAUAUUAAAACAGAACAAACAAAUUCUCAUACAAAAUUAUCAUAUUUCUCUCUAUACAACCAAACAUAUAUACAAAAAUAUUGAAUAGACAUGUCUUCACUUAUGAGCCCAGAUCUGACGAACAAAGUCUACCCAGAACAAUUUCAGCCGGAAUAGACCAUUUCGAUAGGUUGCCAGACUCUCUCCUCCUCCUUGUAUUCAACUAGAUCGUCGACGUUAAACCCCUCGACCGCUGCUCCCUAGUCUCCAAACGCUCCCCAGGUUGAAGAUGAUUCUCCUAUUCCUACUCCUCCUCCACUUCUUCCUCCAAAUCCCACACCCCCUUUUCCCCCUCUUCCGAUUAGUCUUCAGCAACACCGUUAAACCCCUCCAAUCUCUCACUCUAGAUCUUUUCAUUCACUCCGCGCCUUUACUAUAGCAGGAAGGAAACGAUUGAGGACGGCCGCCCAGAAAUCUGGGCUAGCCGCUGAGUGAAGGCCCACCCUCAUCGCAUAAUCAUCCUCAUGACUAAAAUCUUUUUCUCCCUAUAGGAUUGUAUAUGUGUACAUAUACAAACCCAAAUUUUUGGGUUUGAUUCUCAAUUAUGAUUCCAUGAGAAUAAUUGAUUGUAUUUUUAAUUGGGAGUUAUGAGCGGAGGUUGUGGGCGUAUUGAUGGUGAUGGUUAUUUGCUGACGAGUAGAAGUGAUUCACGAUGAUGGUGAAAAAAAGUUUCGCUCGGUGGUGAAGUAGUGGUGGUUGAAAAUUGCUUUUUUUAGAGGUUGUGGGCAUAUUGCUUGAGUAGUAGCAGCAGUGGUGGUGGUGGUUCUUUGUUUCAAUAGUAUAAUAGUUUAAUGAUCCAAUUGACAAAAUUGGAAGGUAAAUCACUAAAGUGGAAUAUAGCCAAUGGUUUAGGGUAGUAAUUUAUAUUUAAGCUUAAAAAAUCGACAAUUCUCGGCAAGUUCUAGGCUCAACUGGUAGAAUCAAAAUUCCAACAGAAAUAUACAAGGUUGAUGCAAUAUUUGGCUUUCACUAAACUAGCCAGAACAUGAGAGCAAUAUUUGAUUUGGAAAGAUUUAG
rnacentral:lncRNA from 1 species